AAAAAAUUGAAACUGGAAUUAAACAGAAAAUGAAUCAUAAAUACUACCAAUAAAUAAAAGCUGUAGUACCAGGAAAUUAAUCAUGCUUUUCCCAAAUCCCAUUAAAUCGCAGGACUUUGUUUAACCUGACUGACAAUGCAUGCCCUGCUAUGAAUUGUGAACAGCUGAGACUGUGAACACAAGGAAAUAGUGACUCACUGCAGAGCAUGGAGGCUGAUGAAGUGUGUUUAUGGCACAGUAGUGGUGAAUGUUUGUCCACACCUACAACAGCCACAGAUCAAGUUGGUGACGUUCCCGUUGGACUUGUGGCUGCUAUGUUCCAGGGAGCAGUGCUGAACCUGAUAGACUUCAUCUGACUUCAGCCUGCAGCUGCUACAGCCCCCAGCACCACCAACACCAUAGCAGGAGCUCCUUCCAAGCCUCAAAGCCUCUGAUGUCUGUGUCUCACCUGGCUAACGAAGAGCUGAGAGCCCAGGAGAAUUAGCUAUUCAACUCCACAGCUUCCAGAUUAAUGGGGUACUGAAGAGCUCGACAGAAGAGUUGGCUAAUAAUCAGACAGGGUUGUAGCUAAAACCUUUUCCCUUUCCACAGAAUCUUCAUAGAAAUUAAACCAACUUCACACAACACUUCAAUUUUG
rnacentral:lncRNA from 1 species